AGAGUUUGAUCCUGGCUCAGGAUGAACGCUGGCGGCGUGCUUAACACAUGCAAGUCGAACGCACCUUCGGGUGAGUGGCGGACGGGUGAGUAACGCGUGGGAAUCUGCCCUUAGGAGGGGGAUAACGGCUGGAAACGGCCGCUAAUACCCCAUAUGCCGAGAGGUGAAACGAAUUUCGCCUGAGGAUGAGCCCGCGUCUGAUUAGCUAGUUGGUGGGGUAAGAGCCCACCAAGGCGACGAUCAGUAGCUGGUCUGAGAGGAUGAUCAGCCACACUGGGACUGAGACACGGCCCAGACUCCUACGGGAGGCAGCAGUGGGGAAUUUUCCGCAAUGGGCGAAAGCCUGACGGAGCAACGCCGCGUGAGGGAUGAAGGCCUCUGGGCUGUAAACCUCUUUUCUCAAGGAAGAAGACAUGACGGUACUUGAGGAAUAAGCCACGGCUAAUUCCGUGCCAGCAGCCGCGGUAAUACGGGAGUGGCAAGCGUUAUCCGGAAUUAUUGGGCGUAAAGCGUCCGCAGGCGGCUCUGUAAGUCUGUUGUUAAAGCGUGGAGCUCAACUCCAUUUCAGCAAUGGAAACUACAGGGCUUGAGUGUGGUAGGGGCAGAGGGAAUUCCCGGUGUAGCGGUGAAAUGCGUAGAUAUCGGGAAGAACACCAGUGGCGAAGGCGCUCUGCUGGGCCAUAACUGACGCUCAUGGACGAAAGCCAGGGGAGCGAAAGGGAUUAGAUACCCCUGUAGUCCUGGCCGUAAACGAUGAACACUAGGUGUCGGGGGAAUCGACCCCCUCGGUGUCGUAGCCAACGCGUUAAGUGUUCCGCCUGGGGAGUACGCACGCAAGUGUGAAACUCAAAGGAAUUGACGGGGGCCCGCACAAGCGGUGGAGUAUGUGGUUUAAUUCGAUGCAACGCGAAGAACCUUACCAGGGUUUGACAUCCUGCGAAUCCCUUGGAAACUUGGGAGUGCCUUCGGGAGCGCAGAGACAGGUGGUGCAUGGCUGUCGUCAGCUCGUGUCGUGAGAUGUUGGGUUAAGUCCCGCAACGAGCGCAACCCACGUCUUUAGUUGCCAGCAUUCAGUUGGGCACUCUAGAGAGACCGCCGGUGAUAAACCGGAGGAAGGUGUGGAUGACGUCAAGUCAUCAUGCCCCUUACAUCCUGGGCUACACACGUACUACAAUGCUACGGACAGAGGGCAGCAAGCUCGCGAGAGUUAGCAAAUCCCAUAAACCGUGGCUCAGUUCAGAUCGUAGGCUGCAACUCGCCUACGUGAAGGAGGAAUCGCUAGUAAUCGCAGGUCAGCAUACUGCGGUGAAUACGUUCCCGGGCCUUGUACACACCGCCCGUCACACCAUGGAAGAUGGCCAUGCCCGAAGUCGUUACUCCAACCCUUGUGGAGGAGGACGCCGAAGGUGGGGCUGAUGACUGGGGUGAAGUCGUAACAAGGUA
rnacentral:rRNA from 1 species